UACGAAGGGAGCUAGCGUUGUUCGGAAUCACUGGGCGUAAAGCGCACGUAGGCGGACUAUUAAGUCAGGGGUGAAAUCCCGGGGCUCAACCCCGGAACUGCCUUUGAUACUGGUAGUCUUGAGUUCGAGAGAGGUGAGUGGAAUUCCGAGUGUAGAGGUGAAAUUCGUAGAUAUUCGGAGGAACACCAGUGGCGAAGGCGGCUCACUGGCUCGAUACUGACGCUGAGGCGCGAAAGCGUGGGUAGCAAACAGG
rnacentral:rRNA from 1 species